CUCAUUAUAACAGCUAUAAUUUACUUGAUCUUGACACAAUCCUACUUGGAUAACUGUGGUAAUUCUAGAGCUAAUACAUGCAUUAAAGCUCUGACCUCACGGGAAGAGUGCAUUUAUUAGAACAAAACCAAGCGGCUUCGGCUGUUUCUGGUUGACUCAUAGUAACUGAGCUGAUCGCAUGGUCUUGCACCGGCGACGUGUCUUUCAAGUAUCUGCCGUAUCAACUUUCGAUGGUAGUGUAUCUGACUACCAUGGUGAUCACGCGUAACGGAGAAUAAGGGUUCGGCUCCGGAGAGUUCGCCUGAGAAAUCGCGAACACAUCUAAGGAAGGCAGCAGGCGCGAAAAUUACCCACUCUCAGCACGAGGAGGUAGUGACGAAAAAUAACGAGACCGUUCUCUUAUGAGGCCGGUCAUCGGAAUGGGUACAAUUUAAACCCUUUAACGAGUAUCUAUGAGAGGGCAAGUCUGGUGCCAGCAGCCGCGGUAAUUCCAGCUCUCAAAGUGCAUAGAAUUAUUGCUGCGGUUAAAAAGCUCGUAGUUGGAUCUGUGCCAUAGGACGUGGUCCACCUUCGGGUGCGUACUACGCUCCUAGGCUUUUUGCUGGUUUUCCCGUCGUAGCCUUCACUGGUUGCGGCGGGUGGCUGGCGAGUUUACUUUGAGAAAAUCAGAGUGCUCAAUACAGGCGUAUCGCUUGAAUGAUUGUGCAUGGAAUAAUAGAAAAGGAUUUCGGUCCUCUUUUUAUUGGUUUUGUGGACUGAGAUAAUGGUUAACAGGGACAAACGGGGGCAUUCGUAUCUCUGCGUGAGAGGUGAAAUUCUUGGACCGUAGAGAGACGCCCUACUGCGAAAGCAUUU
rnacentral:rRNA from 1 species